GGAAACGAUGUGGGAAGGCCCAGACAGCCAGGAUGUUGGCUUAGAAGCAGCCAUCAUUUAAAGAAAGCGUAAUAGCUCACUGGUCGAGUCGGCCUGCGCGGAAGAUGUAACGGGGCUAAACCAUGCACCGAAGCUGCGGCAGCGACACUGUGGUGUUGUUGGGUAGGGGAGCGUUCUGUAAGCCUGUGAAGGUGUGUCGUGAGGCAUGCUGGAGGUAUCAGAAGU
rnacentral:rRNA from 1 species